rnacentral:rRNA from 1 species
ACGCACGCUGGCGGCGUGCUUAACCCCUGCCAGUCGCACGGAAAGGCCCUGCUUUUGUGGGGUGCUCGAGUGGCGAACGGGUGAGUAACACGUGAGUAACCUGCCCUUGACUUUGGGAUAACUUCAGGAAACUGGGGCUAAUACCGGAUAGGAGCUCCUGCUGCAUGGUGGGGGUUGGAAAGUUUCGGCGGUUGGGGAUGGACUCGCGGCUUAUCAGCUUGUUGGUGGGGUAGUGGCUUACCAAGGCGUUGACGGGUAGCCGGCCUGAGAGGGUGACCGGCCACAUUGGGACUGAGAUACGGCCCAGACUCCUACGGGAGGCAGCAGUGGGGAAUAUUGCACAAUGGGCGGAAGCCUGAUGCAGCAACGCCGCGUGCGGGAUGACGGCCUUCGGGUUGUAAACCGCUUUCGCCUGUGACGAAGCGUGAGUGACGGUAAUGGGUAAAGAAGCACCGGCUAACUACGUG